rnacentral:misc_RNA from 1 species
GAUGAAGAACGCAGCGAAAUGCGAUACGUAAUGUGAAUUGCAGAAUUCAGUGAAUCAUCGAAUCUUUGAACGCACAUUGCGCCCGCCAGUAUUCUGGCGGGCAUGCCUGUCCGAGCGUCAUUUCAACCCUCGAACCCCUCCGGGGGGUCGGCGUUGGGGAUCGGCCCUGCCUCUGGCGGUGGCCGUCUCCGAAAUACAGUGGCGGUCUCGCCGCAGCCUCUCCUGCGCAGUAGUUUGCACACUCGCAUCGGGAGCGCGGCGCGUCCACAGCCGUUAAACACCCAACUUCUGAAAUGUUGACCUCGGAUCAGGUAGGAAUACCCGCUGAACUUAAGCAUAUCAAUAAGCGGAGGA